CAAGUCAUGGCGGCUUACGGUGCUGCGAUUUCUCUCAAGAGUACCAUUCAGACUAUUCUAAAAUCGUCUCGCAUUUCACUUGUUCCUCCCUCUCCACAAAUCUUACAACCCGCUUACGAGGCCAUGGUUCGGUUGCAGAAAGUUGUGCUAAGAUUGGAUAAGACUGGGUACAGCAAGAUCCGGACAAAGGUGAAUGCUUUGGAGGACCGAAUCAAAGAAGCAGCAUGGGAAUUCGAAGAUUUACUAAAAUCUCUUGUGUAUGAACAGAUUCUUCCACAACUCGAAGGUCACUUGUCUUUCUCGGUAGAUCUGCAGAGUCUUCGACAGAGUGUUGAUUGCUUUGUGGAGAAGGUGGCCGUGAUGGAAGCGGAGUUCGAUAUUGAACUACUCAAUAUGCCCGAAGAAGACGGCCAACCUCUUUCCUCAAGAAUUGAUUUUGGUGGAAUCGACUCAUACAUGGUUGGAUCAUCCAAAGAAUUUGAAGAGUUCAGGGAUGAUCUUUGUGCAGAAGAUGACAGGAGUUGGUGGUUACCGGUUAUUGGGAUGGCAGGAGUUGGAAAAAUAACAUUUGCUAAGAAAUUAUUUGACGAUCCAUCAAUUAAGAGUCAUUUCGAGCUUCGAGCAUGGGUCAAAGUGGGCAGAAAAUGUGAAUUCCAUGAAACCUUACGAUGCAUUCUAGCUCAAGUGGAUCCCACCACUUGCGGCCAAAUGCUUACCCAAGAAGACGACGAUGGCCAUGAGAAAUUACCUGGACUCUUGCAAGAGAGGUUGAAGGAUAAGAAAUGUCUUAUUGUGUUGGAUGAUGUAUGGAAAUGGGAUACACAAUUAGUGGAUAACUUGCCAGAAAAGAAUGUCACAAUCUUGCUUACAAGCCGGAAAAAAUUUAAAGAAUGUGAAAUUGACUACCCACUACGCUUGCUGAAUGAAGAAGAAAGUAAAAAAUUACUUGGCGAGAAGGUGUUCGGUGAAGAGGGUUUCCCUCCUCAUCUUGAUAAACUAGGAGAGAAGAUUGCCAAAAAAUGUGAAGGUCUUCCACUUAUGAUAGUCACAGUUGCAGAGCUCCUAUCUAAAGAAGAGACAACCACAAAAAAUUGGACCGAGGUAGCUGAAAAACAACGUAAUUCAGUAUUUGUGGAUGCAUACGAUCAAAAAUAACUGAGGAACAUUAAAAAACGUGGAGCUUUGUCAUGUAUGCCGGUGGAAGUAUGGGACAUGCAAGAACUACAGCAUAUUGAGGUAUGGGGAAAAGACCUACCAACCCCUGAUUCUUCUUUUGCUGCAUUUGACAGACUUUUCAGUCUUUUAGGUGUGAGUGAAAAGAGUUGCACAAGAGAAAUUCUCAAGAGAAUCCCAAAUUUAAUAAAAUUAGUAAUUGUGGUAGAAUUGCAGCCUUAUGAUGAAGAUGAUGAUAAAAACCCAUUGAGUAACCUGGGUUAUAUAUCAGAGGAACUCAAGUAUUUGGAAGAGCUUACAUAUACUGUGAUGUAUCCUGAUAUGAAGCGUGUGUUUAUGGUUCCCCUAUCAAUGUUCCCAUCUAGUUUGAUAAUGCUAUGUUUGAGUGGCUUAGGGUGUCCAUGGAAGUAUAUGAAUGACAUUGGUUCAAUGCUACCAAAUCUUAGUUGCCUCAGGUUAGAACAAUAUGCCUUUCAAGGCCCCGAGUGGAGUAUAGAAUCAGGGAGUUUUAUGAAACUUGAGACAGUUGUAAUUGAGGACACCGAUUUGGUGCGAUUGAUAGCUCAGCAUGGAAGUCUCCCAAGGCUCAAACUCCUAAGCAUACGCCAUUGCUACAAAUUACAACAAUUCGAUUGGACGCGUGAUCCCUCAAUGGUCACCACUACAAUUGAGUUAGUUGAGUGCCAUCCCUUAGCCAUCGAUUCUGCCAUGCAAUUAAGACCUGAAUCUGUCUUUAUGAUUUGUUGGUGCUCUCCUUUUUGAAUUCCAAGCUCGAUCGACUCUCAACUUGGUUAACGGAUAAAAUGGAACUUAUCUACAUGAAAAGAUGCUUCUGUGGUGUGUGGUGAUUUUGGAUAAGCUCGAGUGGGAGCGCAUGGAGUAGUGAAGAUUUGGCCAAUCUGUGGGCCUAAGCUAAACAAUGAAGGGAUUUCCGGUUGUGAUUGAGAGAAAGUUACUUACCGAAGAGCGCGCUACCUGCUCACAUCUGCCGCGUGCGUGGUUACUGUUCUGCGGUUGGGAGGAAGUAUUUAAUAAGAAAAUGUAUCACAAACAAAGAUAUCUGAAUUUUCAGUUUUUACUCCUUGGUAUUAUUUCCACUUAAAACUCUAUAGCUUAGUUUAACAACUCUUAUAUUUCCAUUUCUAGUUAAUUGCUACUUUUGC